GACGAACGCUGGCGGCGUGCUUAACACAUGCAAGUCGAGCGGUAAGGCCCUUUCGGGGGUACGACGAGCGGCGAACGGGUGAGUAACACGUGGGUGACCUGCCCUCAGCUCUGGGAUAAGCCCGGGAAACUGGGUCUAAUACUGGAUAUGACUCCAUGACGCAUGUUGUGGGGUGGAAAGCCUUGUGCGGCUGAGGAUGGGCCCGCGGCCUAUCAGCUUGUUGGUGGGGNGAUGGCCUACCAAGGCGACGACGGGUAGCCGGCCUGAGAGGGCGACCGGCCACACUGGGACUGAGACACGGCCCAGACUCCUACGGGAGGCAGCAGUGGGGAAUCUUGCGCAAUGGGCGAAAGCCUGACGCAGCGACGCCGCGUGAGGGAUGACGGCCUGGU
rnacentral:rRNA from 1 species